rnacentral:lncRNA from 1 species
GUUAUCAGUGUAUUUUUAUUAUUCCCAUUUUACAUAAAAGGAAAUGACUCAGAGUUUAAGUGACUUGUCCAGGGACAUUUAGCUACUAAGUAUCUGAGGUGGGAUUUCAUACAGUCGCUUAAUUUCAGAUAGAAGACGCCCCUAAUUGGGAAAAAAAAAGAUCUCUACAAUGUCUCUGAAAAGUGGUCAUUGAGCUUCUGAGUGAAGAUUUCUCAUGAAGGAAAACUUGCUGCUUCUGUUUCCAUGCUUUCUCGGGCAUGGGCAAGCUCAGAAUCACAACCGGAAGAGGAAUGAAGAAUGACCAAAGUGAAGACUCCAUAAAGGAACUCACCAGUGGGAAAUGGGGCUGGAAUGGUCAGGAGGUAUUCCAGGAAUCAAUGCAGCUUGUAAACAGUCUCAAAGCUUAUAUAACACUGAAAAAUAGGAAGAGAAUGGAGCCCCAACAUCAGACUGCCAACAUCUCUGGCACAGGUAAACAACAGCCACCAGAUACUCAGCCUGCUUCGAAGGCUCCUGCCUGCCAGCUGCUGACCCUCCUGCUGCUGCUGCUGCUAGGUCAAGAUUUAUGCUCCUUCAUCUUAACCAUGCUGGAAUGCUCUCACUGGAGCCUUCUUAUGAUGCAGCUGAUUCUAGUAAGAAAAGAGCCAAGAGAAGAGAAUCCAACUGCCGCUCCCUGGUGAGGUCUGUAUUUUCUUUAGAAAGCAAAUACACAACUAGAAAAUCAGCUUAUUGUUCAUCAUUUUUCAG